CACACUACCACGUAUUGCUUUCUGACAAAAUAAGGUGGGGGGGGGAGUUCAUCCUACAAUGUUGCUCAUGGUGAUCUGGAAGAUCUGCUGUGUGACAUACUACAGAAUCUCAGAGAACGUUGGGAUUCAGGAUCUCUACCAGCCAUGGGAAGGAUUCGAAUCUUUUGUGUUUUUGAACACCGAUCUGCAAGAGACAGAGUCAUCUUCCUGUGGGUAGCACUGUCUGUGGAAUGAGGCCUGUGGUAUAUUGGGAUAAAGAUGGUUUAGUCCAAACCUUUUUAUAAAAAAAAGAUGUACUUACCAUAAAAAUUAAUACAUUUG